GCAAAGCAGUGAUGUGGAGCAAAACACAAAAAGCAGUCUCAGUUCAGAUUGUAGGCUGAAACUCGCCUAUAUGAAGUUGGAAUCGCUAGUAAUCGCGGAUCAGCAUGCCGCGGUGAAUACGUUCCCGGGCCUUGUACACACCGCCCGUCACACCAUGAGAGUCGGGAACACCCGAAGUCCGUAGCCUAACAGCAAUGGGGGCGCGGCCGAAGGUGGGUUCGAUAAUUGGGGUGAAGUCGUAACAAGGUAGC
rnacentral:rRNA from 1 species